GUGUCCUUUUAAGAAUGAUGUAGUGCUUUAAGAGGCUAAUACAAAAAGACAAAGCAAGACUCCAUAAAAUCCAGAGAAUAGAUCACAGAACUCCUCUUUGGAUCCUGUCUGGAGACAUAACU